UGAGGAAUAUUGGUCAAUGGACGAGAGUCUGAACCAGCCAAGUAGCGUGCAGGAUGACGGCCCUAUGUGUUGUAAACUGCUUUUGUUUGGGAAUAAUCGACAUUACGUGUAAUGUUUUUCAUGUACCAUUCGAAUAAGGACCGGCUAAUUCCGUUCCAGCAGCCGCGGUAAUACGGAAGGUCCAGGCGUUAUCCGGAUUUAUUGGGUUUAAAGGGAGUGUAGGCGGUUGGUUAAGCGUGUUGUGAAAUGUAGAUGCUCAACAUCUGACUUGCAGCGCGAACUGGCUGACUUGAGUACACACAACGUAGGCGGAAUUCAUGGUGUAGCGGUGAAAUGCUUAGAUAUCAUGAAGAACUCCGAUUGCGAAGGCAGCUUACGGGAGUGUUACUGACGCUUAAGCUCGAAGGUGCGGGUAUCGAACAGG
rnacentral:rRNA from 1 species